AUGCUGCGUGGGUGCUGAGCCCGCUCCGGCCCGGACGAUGGUGACGUAUUUCCUGGGCCAGAGCGUGCUCCAGAGUUCCUGGGACCAAGUGUUCGCCGCCUUCUGGCAGCGGUACCCGAAUCCCUACAGACACAGUACACGGGAGGUGACCCCUGACCAGAGACUGCUGUCCCGGCGACUCCUGACCAAGACCAACAGGAUGCCCCGCUGGGCCGAGCGACUGUUUCCUGCCGAUGUUGCUCACUCGGUGUACGUCCUGGAGGACUGUAUUGUGGACCCACAGAAUCAGACCAUGACCACCUUCACCUGGAACAUCAACCACGCCCGGCCCGUGGUGGUGGAGGAACGAUGUGUUUACUGUGUGAACUCUGACAACAGUGGCUGGACCGAAAUCCGCCAUGAAGCCUGGGUCUCCUCGCUUAUUUGGUGUCUCCAGAGCUGUCCAGGAAUUCGGUCUUGUCUGGUUCAAAAGCAGCGUGACCAAGGCUAUGAAGGGCUUUGAAUAUAUCUUGGCGAAGCUACAAGGCGAGGCCCCUUCCAAAACACUCGUUGAGACAGCCAAGGAAGCCAAGGAGACUGCUAAGGAGACGGCACUGGCAGCUACAGAGAAGGCCAAGGACCUCGCCAGCAAGGCGGCCACCAAGAAGCAGCAGCAGCAGUUUGUGUACCAGCCCCCCACCACCACAGCACCCCAGACAGCUUGGCUUUGCCCCGCUGCCCUCCCUCCAUUGUACUUUAUCGUUAAAAAUCAACUUCCAUCCCUAUCUACUGUCUGGGUGGUGGGUUGA